rnacentral:rRNA from 1 species
UACGUAGGUGGCGAGCGUUGUCCGGAUUUAUUGGGCGUAAAGGGCGCGCAGGUGGUGCGGUAAGACUAUCGUGAAAUCUCCCGGCUCAACUGGGAGGGUGCGGUGGAGACUGCCGGACUAGAGGCACUCAGAGGCCGGUGGAAUUCCCGGUGUAGUGGUGAAAUGCGUAGAGAUCGGGAGGAACACCAGUGGCGAAAGCGGCUUCCUGGUCCAGCACCGACGUUCAGGCACGAAAGCGUGGGGAGCAAACAGG